rfam:Lupinus angustifolius cultivar Tanjil contig_21838, whole genome shotgun sequence.
AAGCCUGUGAUGAUCAAUCUUAUUUGGAAUUACCGUCUGAACAUCCUUGAUGUGAAAUUUUGGCUGUUUUUCUGAGGCUUCAU